AGGUGGAAAGGCAAGAGAGAAUGAACCUGAUUCUGCAGCCCCUUUUUAAAAUAACAUUGAUCCACACCUGAGAUACCUGAGAUGGAGACCGAAACAUAUCCUCAAAGACUGAUCUCGAAUAGCACUUCACUGGCGAUUAAGUUUUCAAUGAGCCUGGGAUUUGAAGUCAAAUGGCUUUGUGAGUUUAAAUCCUGUCCAAAGUAUCAUUAGGUACAGCAUAUUGGACACAUUCUUCUGGGACUUUAUGCUGGACAGAGACAUUGAAACAAUGGUUCAAAGAAUGGAGGGGACCACUGAGUCAAGACAGAAACGAAACGAUCCUCUGAGUUCUCGUGCAACUAUUUAAUGCUGUCUGUGUCUAGUACUUUGGAUGCUGAAUGUCUUAUAAAGAUCCAUGUGCUGAAGACUUGGAUCAUAGGGUGAGGCUGUUGAUAUUUAAGAUUGGAGCCUUUCGGGUGGUCUUUAGGUCACUGUGGCAUGUCAUUGAAUUGGACAUUGGUAGUGGAACCCUAGUACCUAUGUGUGCCUUUGCUUUCUGGAUCCUGACAUGGGCAGCUUGCUCCACAGCAUACCCUCCACAAUUGCCUUCCUGAACACCCUCCAGGGGUCUAGAGCAAUGGAUUCUCCCAGUUUUAAACAGGAGUUUCCAAAACCAUGAGCCAAAUAAAUAUUUUUCUCUUAUAGGUUAAUUAUGUCAGAUAUUUUAUAAUAGUAAUAUACUCUUGCCAGUA